UAUCAAAUGCUUAUGAGCAUCCUCAAUGUCCUUAUAAGGAGCCUGUGUCCAGCAGGGCUUCAAAGGAGACUGUAAGAAACAGAGAGCAAAACCAGCUUCAUGUUGAUUUCUUGAUGAGAAUCUCCUUGGAAGCUGAGGAAACUGGAACGUCUUGGACUUGGCAUAUGACACCAAGAAUCUGCAAACUUUAGAGGCUCUGUUCAGAGAACUCUUCAGGGGGACUGUAGCCUGGCAGGAUCUCUCUGUACCCCUGCAGCCUCUGCCCCAGUGCUGUGACCAUGCUACAGUGGGAGCACAGACCUCUCUGGUGCCAAGGAUCUCUUAGCACCAUGCUCACACUUCGAGUUGGUGUGGCAUGCCCCAUCCUUUUUGUCUGAGAGCUGCAGCUGCCACUGGACUUGGACUCAGAUGGCAGGAGCAGGCAGGUACUCAUGGGAAAUGACACACUGUGCAUGACGGGAAUCGCGGAUCGCAGCAGACACUGCCAAGGGAAGAGGCUGCUCCUUGCCCUGCUGUCCCCAGCACAGGGAGGCCAUGGCACUACACCUGGGACUCACCUCCACGUGGCAGCUCUCCCCUGUAAGAAUGGAUGUAAAAGUUUGCAGGAGACCUGGCGAAUUCAGGGUAUCACAGCUGGGCUAGAUGGGCCUGUCGGGGGAUGGCUCUGCUUCUCACCAGGUGGUAGAGAAGAGCUUGGCUGAAAAUCCUCCAGUUUCUCAGCUCAGCAAGAAAGAGGGGGGGUUAUAUAAAACUGAAGACCUCUGUUUUAGCCAAGACUCCAGCAGACCCAAAGAAAACCCAGAGGCCAGCAGAGUGGGGUAUGUGUGCUAUGGAGGUGGAUUGGACCACAAUUGACUGGAUUGAAGAGCUCGUGUUGACCUGAGGAUUUUUUUCCUGCAAAGGAAGGUCUGAGGCUCCCACUGGACUUUGCUCACCUCCCAGCACAGAGCAAAGCUGGUGUCCCCUGGCAAUGGAAACCAGCAGCUAACAAGAGGGAAGGAGCCCUAUUCCAGUGACUGUGUCUCCUGGCAGUGGCCAUGGAAGAUGUCUCUCUGGCAUCCAGAAUGAAUAACAGCUAAAGACAUGAGCUGAAAUCUCACUCUUUGCCUCUCAAGCCAGGGCAAUGCCAAGAAUGUUUUUUUGUCACCUGAACCAUUAAUUCUCUGAGAGGGAAAUGCACAUGGGCACUGAUGUCCAUCACACACUGACUGUGAGUCAGCUCUGUGCUGCAGUGCACAAAAACAACUCUGCAACUUCUGUGAAGAACAUCAGAGCUGAAGCACAGUCCUUAUUGCCAGUAUCAGGGUGGGUGCUGGGCCUAUUUAAUCAGUUUUAGAAACUGAAGAAGGGAAACCAAACCCAACCCCAUGUGUGUUUUCAGGUGUCAUCUUUUUUUUUGCUGAAGUUUGAGUAGUGCACUGAAAAGCCUAUGAUUUCUGGGAAUUACAUCUGGGUUUUAUGAAGCCCCAGGCUGCAGAGUAAGAGUGCUUUUGUGAGAGUAUCUGCUUUCAUUCUUGCUGGUUUUAAAGAGAAAUUUCCAAAGUUUGUGCCUUCAAGGGGGGAAAAAACAAAACGCACAACAACUUGGAGACAUGGGUCCUCAAAAGAAAAUGUCAAAUAAAACCCUUUUUUAAAUAAUCUUAUAAUUUCUAAGCCAGCCACCUUAUUUUGGAAGGCUUAUGUUUGAGAUCAGUGUUAAUUGAAGAUGACACCUUAAAAUUAGCCCACUGUGGAGGUAUCUCAUUGAAUUAAAUCCUAAAGGAGCAGUAAUACAUUAAGUACCAUACAUGAAAAUAAAUAAACCUCUUCCCUGCAUAACUAAUAGCUACUUCUGCAUUAAAGCUGAAGUAUUUAAUGCACUGUAACUAUACUGAGUGCUUAUACUACUAUUUUUUCCUUUCCCCCCUCCCCUUUUAAUGACAGCCAGUUUAUUUCCUUUCAGACUACAGUUACCUCCAGCUUUACCCUGUUUUCCCUGAUUUGGUGCUGGUGGUGGUACAAAAAACAGUGGCACAGCUUUCCCUUUGCUACAGAACCUGAAACUUCACUCUGGAAUAAAACUGAAAAAACCCCAAAAAGCAAAAGCAGUGCAUGUGAAGGAGCCAGUUAGUGGUGGUGGAGGGAAAGAGUGGGUGAGGAUGGCCCUGGGACCAUUAGUGAUUGAAGAAAUGCUGAUUUUAGCCAGUGGUAUUAGCAACUGGCACUUUUUAAAGUGCUAAAAGCUUUGGACACAGAUUACCAUGCGCAUAUUUCAAUUUCCUUUAAAUCCAGGGAGAUUUCCUCUUAAAGCACACUCUCUCUGCUCUCUGACUCUUUUUUUUUUAUUCAGCUAGAUUGUUCUUGAUGGGGACUGUUAACUGAAUGCAGCAUAUUAUAUAUUACUUCAAUAAAUCACCAACAGCCGAAGCAUUCAAUAUCAUGCAGAGCAGUAAUCAGGGGAAGUCUUAAUCACACUUUAAAUGGUUUGGAUUUAUGCUCUGCUUUCCACGGGCUACUGCCACUGCUGGAAAGGCACAGAGGCACGGCUCCGUGGUGGCCAGCCAGGACCUGGUCCAGCUGGUGCCAGGGGCUGGGAGCAUAGCCAGGAUGCAGGGUGUGUGCCAGGGGUGCAGUGCUCGGGCCAGAGAGGAUGAACAGCCUCUAGGGCUUUCCUGGAGCUGUUUGUACCUAUGCAAUGGUCUUUUCAGAUUGCCUGGGCAUUUUGGUGUAAAAAUAUGUCACUCUGAGAAUGUAAACAGCUGCUCUUACUGCAUCAAGGUUGUACAGAUGUGCAGCAAGGCCUGGCUUUGUUUUGACUGAAAAAACGUGUUUUAACAUAAAUUUAUUUCUAAAGAAAUAAUCAGAUUAGAGUAAAACCAGCUGCUGUAUUCCUUUGCCUUUUGCAUUAUGUCCAGGAGAUUGGAAAAACCUCCUGGAUUUUUGUCAGGGUGUGGGAGAAGUAAAGAAGAAAGGCUGGCUUAAAAAAACUAAACAAGCCGCAAACCCCCUUAAAUAUAAUUUUUAAUUUAUGACUGGUGACCCACUGAGGCUUUCCAUGAAGGUAAAACUUUCCAGCCAGGGUCUGUGGCCGUGAGGUCUGUGUGGGUCUCAGAGAAGUGAGUGCCAAGUGCCAGCCAAGGCAGAGGAUGAGAACCUUCCUCCCCUGCACCGCCACACGCCCGACCUUCACCUGCACCCUUGCAAUGAUGUACAGAUGUGCAGUGACGGCGUCUGCCUUGGCCACAGGGAGAAAUCACAGCAGAAAGCAAUAGCCCCUUUUGGGUGGAAGUUAGCAAUUUUGGUUAACCCCAUGGCCUGGAGCAUGGCACAGACACGAGGGCAGUCACUGGCCAUCGGCGCUCGCUGGGGACGGGGACAAGGCACUGCAGGGUGAGAGGUCAGCAGGCUUGUCAAGCACAUCUGGCUGGGAGAGCCCUGGGCACACUGUGAGCUGCUCUCCCAGCUCAGAAAAACUCUGCAGGCCCUCUCAGCUGGAGGGAGUGAGUCUCCCUUCCACCCCGGCGUUACAAGUAGUCAAACUGCUUCCACCAUAAAUUACUGCUCUGGCAGUGGAAAUCUGAACAAGACCAAGCAGAGUGGAGACACAGCAGCUGAGAUGGUUAAACAAUAGCCCUGCACACAGGAAACUCUCCCUUAAUGGUGGAUUUAAGUUCCAAGGAGCUUUGGUACCUGACCAUUGGGUUCAUUCCCUCCACCCCCUGUUUUGUUUUUCAUUCAGUUCCAUGUUGUUCAUGUCUCUUAAUAGGGCAUCCUUCAUUAUCAUUAUCCCUAAUAGUGGUUUAUUGUAUUAGUUACAGUUAAUUUAAAUGUUACCGAAGCAUUGAAAACAGAUUGCAGAUGUUUUGAAACAGAUGUUAUUUUAAUGUUAAACAAAAUCAUGAAUAUUUAUGGGUCAUUAUUGCCUGGGUUGAAUUAAGCUCUUUAAAUAGUAAUGUAUGGGCUUAAUGUCUUUUGAAGGAAAUGCUCCAAAAAAAGGUGAAUGGAAAAACACUGUCAUAUAAAGAUGUAUAAAUCAUUUCUUCUGGCAACACUGUGUUUUUCCUCUAUGAACAGACAGAAUUAAUUUCUGUUAUAUUGCUAAAACAGGUACUGUUCUUGUUCUCUAGCUCAAGUUAACCUAAGAAAAUUUUUUGAGCUCAGAAACACUUAUAGAGCUCUCUAUUUCAUAGCCAAGGGGCCCACCUGCUCCCUGGAAGCAGACCUAAAGUUGCAGGAAUAUUUUGAGGUGGAGUAAUCAGUUUUAAAGGAAAAUAAGACGAGGAUGACGCAAGCACUCAACUCACUUGGUGUCAGUCUUUCCUACAGAAACACAAAGAGGGUUUGUUAAUGCCACAUGCAGGCUGUCUCUGCUUGAGUCAUAUUUCUUUCUUUAUGGAGAUGGAGCUAGUCUUUAAGGCAGCAGCUCAAAAUGGCCUUUCAUUCAUUACAAAGUUAUUUAGUUACGGGUAGGUAACUCUGAAUGACAUUUCUACAUCUUGCACUUUAUUAGUUGAUCCUAGCUGCUAAAUGACAUGGAGAGAUCAGCAUAUUAUGGCAGGGGAGCUCAGUUGUUUUGGCCAGUUUAGAUGGGAUCCAACCCACUUGAGUUGGAAAUUUGCCUAUGAGAUGAUGAACUCAAGGGGUGUUGAUGAUGAUUAACUCAAGAGGAAGGGGGUGGGAUAAUACGGUGGAAAUAUAAAAAUAAUAAGUCUGUAAACACAGGGAUGAUUUCCUCCUCCGCAGACAUGCAACACUUCCACUGCCUUAGGAUGAGUCAUGUCCUAUUUAGAAGAGGAAUGGCCCAAGAAUUCUUUUGUCAGCACUGAGUCUGGAUGAUGCUGGGAUAGGAAUGGUGCAGGCAAGGGGACAUGCAGCCACAACCCAUCUCUGCUUUUGUCCACAGGGACCGUGUGCUCUAACCUGCAGCAGUGACUCUUUUGUCCUUUUUCCUUCCCUUUUUCCUCUCCAAAUUUAUACUGUGGAGGAAAGCCUGAGUUCUCCUGCAGCUGGCAGAGCUCCUUGUCUCCAGUCACAAAACCCCUGAGCAGAUGGGCCCAGGUUUUGGCUCACCACAGUGGCAGUUGUUGAGCAUUAAGGUCUGUAAUCUCAUCCAGGAGCAUCUGAGCAUUCCCUUCUCCCCUGGCUGAGGGGAGCGAGCGAGUCCCGCAAUGCUCAGGCUGAUGUGCAGCACAAAUAUCUCUCUGCUGCCACACUGCAGGGGUUUGCCCCAGGGCCUCCUGUGUGUCAGGAAAGGAAGCAGCAAUGUACCAGCCUUUCAGCUUCCAGUGUGAUGUAGGUGUAGGGGUCACAGGAGAAGUGCUGAAGAGCUGCACAUUGCAUCUUGAGUGGAGGCAAAGGACAGAUGUGAUUGGAAUCAUCAGACUUUGUUUUGCUUUUCAGAAGUCGGUCAGGAAAGUUUUCUAUUGUGGGCUAAUCUCUUGAUUUAAAAGCCAUACUGAGAAAUCUCAUACAUCCGGUUGAAGAGGUGUUCCUUCAACAGCUUGGACUUGCAGUUCACUGCUCUCAUGUCCUGAGUGAAGUCUGGUACAGUACAUUAUAUUCUGUAGACUGCCAGAAAGGGAGUUCAUUUAGUUUGAUGACAGAUUAAUACUGAUUCACAAAUUAAUUUUGUCUCUUUGUAUAUCAAGGGUGUCCGCAACUUAUUUAAUUUGUAAUAAAUAUAAUUAUAGAAAUGAAUGAGCUAUCAAGAUUUUUAAAGUAUGAUCCAUCAAUGUUGGCAAGACUUGUAAUCCUGGUCAUUAUAAAUAAAAUGGGUCUUUUGCAAUAUGGAAUGCAAUUUUCCCUGUAGUUUGUCUCAUUAUUUUCUGACAUGUGGGUUAAUAUUAAAUUACAAUGCCUUAAUUUUCAAAUCAGGGCUCAAUUUGUAAAUAAGAGGUUAAUAAAUAACCUUUCCAGCUGGAGGCCUUAUUGUGACUUCAUUAAAAUAAACUUUUAAAUGAGAUGAGCCUUGAUGGUACCCACAUUGUCUCAUCCAGUACAUUGCAAAACAACAACAACAAAAAAAAUCUCCUGUGGCUGCCAAAAGAACCUACCCAAAGUCAUUGUGCCUCCAAUACAUCCCAGUGGUCAUUUCACUGUCCCAUAUAACUGGGCUAUACCCUGGCUUGCUCCAUCUCCUGCUUCCUGACACAUGGAGCACACACUGAGCUGUCCUCUGAGUGUGACCUUGAGCAUGCUGUGGAGGCUGCAGGUGGCUGGUGCCACCCCUUGUGCUCUACAUCUUCGUGGUCCCUCAGUGGAUGCAGCUUCUCGUUUCUGUCACUAAGCUCAGACCUACUCCUGCUUCUUUGUCUGCUUUCUGCUGCAUUUCAUGGGAAUAGGUUAGAAUUUAGAUAGGAUAUUAGGGAGAAUUUCUUCACUGAAAGGGCUGUGAAGCAUUGGAAUAGGCAUCCCAGGGGAGUGGUGGAAUCACCAUCCCUGGAAGUGUUCAAAAAAGUGUAGGUGUGGUGCUUCGAGACAUGGUCGGGGGGUGGAUUUGGCCAUGUUUUAUGGUUGGACUUUAUGAUCUUUGAGGUCUUUCCCAACGUAAAUGAUUCUGUGAUUCUCUAAUGCUCAUGGUCGUGUCUCUCAUUACAACUUCCAGUGAAAAAGAACAGACUUUUCUCAACAGGUGCCACAUUCUUCACAGGAAUUUUGUGUUCUGAACUGGAUUUCUGCAGUUGGAGAGGUGGAAGGAAAGCUCUGACUUCUCCACUGAAGGCACACACCUGGGACUGGCAUUAUUUGGGCCCUGGACCUAAACUAAGCUGGUUUGUUCUUUUCCCAUUGCUGAUUGCAGCUUGGACAAAGGCUAUCUUCUUUGUAAAGGGGGGGUAUCCCUUGAGAGAAGAAUAAUAUAUGCAAGUUUAUAAAUAAAAAAUGCCAAACAGCCAACCCCAAAACAAGAACUCCAAGAUAUGGCAGGAAACCUCAAAAAAAUCAGCCCAAUCUUAAAGGAAGCAGUAGGUUGCUCUGUGAGACAGAGGUUGAAAUAGUUUUGCCCAUGAGUGCUGCUACUCUGUGCUUUAACUGUGAGAAAUGGUAGGCUCAAAAUUUGUUGUAUUUAGAAAAAAACAAAUGACCAAAAACCCCAGGUCAUUAGAGGAUUUUUCCCCCUAAUUUGAGUAGUUUUCAUUUACUGUAAUAGAGAACACUGAAACAUGUACACAAGACCUAGUUUACACCUGCAAUCCCCUGAUGGUUUUCCUGCUAUUUUUAUUGUUUAAAAAGUAUUUUUUUCAGUAGUACAAAAGGCAUUGGAAAUAUCUUAAAAUAAUAAACCUUGCCCUGUCUAUCAUUGGGGUUUAUUGAGAGGGGAGAAAGUACCCUUUUUGUUCACCAGUUGUGCUCACAAAAAGCAAUUUCUAAGCCCGGCUGAAUCUGUUGGAACAUCUGUGGGCCAGUGCUUUGCCUGAAGGACUUUGUCAGCACUUAAAUAAGGGCUGGGAAAGAGGUUUUACCUCAGCUAAUCUAAUUGUAACACAAUACUGUAUUUUGUGUGUUAUCUGGAAUAAUUUUGAACACCACUAAAAAUGUGGUUUUUCCUGUUAAAAGGAGGGAUGAGGCUAAUCUAAAAGGCCCUCAGCCACUUACGUUAUUUUACACCUUUUUCUUUUGUGAGAUCUUCUCAAACCCAACUUCCUGCAAGUGAAACAACUGUAGAAAGAUCAGAAGUGGGAAACAAUUCCAUGUGAGCUCCUUAGAGACUUAACUUUUUCUGGUACUGAUUCACCUGUGAUUAAACCAGCCCAUGUCUCUGCAUAAUAAAUCUUCCUUUAAAAAAAAAAUAUAAAUGACAGUUAAAACAUUAUUGAAAAAUGUGCAGAUAGUGGUUUGGUUGAAAAUGUUUUUGAUGUCACUUUUUUACAGCACUACUUAAGAAGUCAUGUCUUAGCCCAGUGCUCUUGUAAAUUCAGGGUUUAGAUUUAGAGGGUUUUUAGGAUAAUAUUGUUGAUGUAUUAUUAGUAGAUGUUAAAUUUUGGGAAAGCAUUUGAAUGAGUUCAGGUUUUAAAUUUCCCUCAUAAUUUGGGCAAAUACAGACCAUUUUUGGAAGUGUUCAAUGACCACAAAGCUGUCUCUUGUCUCUAAGAAAAGGUUCUCAAACACACUGGUGUCAUUGGUGCUUUCAACACAUAGACCACUGCUGAUUUGUUCAAAAUGCUCCCAACUUAUUUCCAGUUAAUGAUGGAAAUGCUGGGAUCUAUUUUCUUUUCUCCAAUUAAAUAGAAACCUUCACCUGGCUCAGCCCCAGUUUCUAUUCCCUGAAAACAUCUUUCACAUUCCCUGACAAAUCUCCUGACAUUGCUAAGACAAGCUAUCAUUUCCU